rnacentral:rRNA from 1 species
CUAAACCUACGGGACGCAGCAGUGAGGAAUAUUGGUCAAUGGGCGGGAGCCUGAACCAGCCAAGUCGCGUGAGGGACGACGGUCCUAUGGAUUGUAAACCUCUUUUGUCGGGGAACAAAGGCGCCCACGGGUGGGCGGAUGAGUGUACCCGAAGAAAAAGCAUCGGCUAACUCCGUGCCAGCAGCCGCGGUAAUACGGAGGAUGCGAGCGUUAUCCGGAUUUAUUGGGUUUAAAGGGUGCGUAGGCGGACGGUCAAGUCAGCGGUAAAAAUGCGGUGCUCAGCGCCGUCCAGCCGGUGAAACUGG